rnacentral:rRNA from 1 species
AUUGAACGCUGGCGGCAGGCCUAACACAUGCAAGUCGAGCGGAUGAAGGGAGCUUGCUCCUGGAUUCAGCGGCGGACGGGUGAGUAAUGCCUAGGAAUCUGCCUGGUAGUGGGGGCUAACGUCCGGAAACGGGCGCUAAUACCGCAUCCGUCCUGAGGUAGAAAGUGGGGGAUCUUCGGACCUCACGCUAUCAGAUGAGCCUAGGUCGUAUUAGCUAGUUGGUUGGGUAAAGGCCUACCAAGGCGACGAUCCGUAACUGGUCUGAGAGGAUGAUCAGUCACACUGGAACUGAGACACGGUCCAGACUCCUACGGGAGGCAGCAGUAGGGAAUAUUGGACAAUGGGCGAAAGCCUGAUGCAGCAAUGCCGCGUGUGUGAAGAAGGUCUUCGGAUUGUAAAGCACUGUUAGUUGGGAGGAAGGGCAGUAAGUUAAUAUCUGGCUGUUUUGACGUUACCAACAGAAUAAGCACCGGCUAACUUCGUG